CAGCCGCCGCGGUAAUACCGGCCGCCCGAGUGAUGGCCGAUCUUAUUGGGCCUAAAGCGUCCGUAGCUGGCCGCACAAGUCCAUCGGAAAAUCCACCCGCUCAACGGGUGGGCGUCCGGUGGAAACUGUGUGGCUUGGGACCGGAAGGCGCGACGGGUACGUCCGGGGUAGGAGUGAAAUCCUGUAAUCCUGGACGGACCGCCGAUGGCGAAAGCACGUCGCGAGAACGGAUCCGACAGUGAGGGACGAAAGCUAGGGUCUCGAACCGGAUUAGAUACCCGGGUAGUCCUAGCCGUAAACGAUGCCUGCUAGGUGUGGCUCCCACUACGAGUGGGUGCUGUGCCGUAGGGAAGCCGCUAAGCAGGCCGCCUGGGAAGUACGUCCGCAAGGAUGAAACUUAAAGGAAUUGGCGGG
rnacentral:rRNA from 1 species